rnacentral:rRNA from 1 species
GAAGGUGGCCUGUGAGGGUUGCUGGAGGUAUCAGAAGUGCGAAUGCUGACAUAAGUAACGAUAAAGCGGGUGAAAAGCCCGCUCGCCGGAAGACCAAGGGUUCCUGUCCAACGUUAAUCGGGGCAGGGUGAGUCGACCCCUAAGGCGAGGCCGAAAGGCGUAGUCGAUGGGAAACGGGUUAAUAUUCCCGUACUUGGUGUUACUGCGAAGGGGGGACGGAGAAGGCUAUGUUGGCCGGGCGACGGUUGUCCCGGUUUAAGCGUGUAGGUGUGUGUUCCAGGUAAAUCCGGUUCACUUUAACACUGAGGCGUGACGACGAGGCACUACGGUGCUGAAGCAACAAAUGCCCUGCUUCCAGGAAAAGCCUCUAAGCAUCAGGUAACAUCAAAUCGUACCCCAAACCGACACAGGUGGUCAGGUAGAGAAUACCAAGGCGCUUGAGAGAACUCGGGUGAAGGAACUAGGCAAAAUGGUGCCGUAACUUCGGGAGAAGGCACGCUGACACGUAGGUGAAGUGAUUUACUCAUGGAGCUGAAGUCAGUCGAAGAUACCAGCUGGCUGCAACUGUUUAUUAAAAACACAGCACUGUGCAAACACGAAAGUGGACGUAUACGGUGUGACGCCUGCCCGGUGCCGGAAGGUUAAUUGAUGGGGUCAGCGCAAGCGAAGCUCCUGAUCGAAGCCCCGGUAAACGGCGGCCGUAACUAUAACGGUCCUAAGGUAGCGAAAUUCCUUGUCGGGUAAGUUCCGACCUGCACGAAUGGCGUAAUGAUGGCCAGGCUGUCUCCACCCGAGACUCAGUGAAAUUGAACUCGCUGUGAAGAUGCAGUGUACCCGCGGCAAGACGGAAAGACCCCGUGAACCUUUACUAUAGCUUGACACUGAACAUUGAGCCUUGAUGUGUAGGAUAGGUGGGAGGCUUUGAAGUGUGGACGCCAGUCUGCAUGGAGCCGACCUUGAAAUACCACCCUUUAAUGUUUGAUGUUCUAACGUGGACCCGUUACCCGGGUUGCGGACAGUGUCUGGUGGGUAGUUUGACUGGGGCGGUCUCCUCCUAAAGAGUAACGGAGGAGCACGAAGGUUGGCUAAUCCUGGUCGGACAUCAGGAGGUUAGUGCAAUGGCAUAAGCCAGCUUGACUGCGAGCGUGACGGCGCGAGCAGGUGCGAAAGCAGGUCAUAGUGAUCCGGUGGUUCUGAAUGGAAGGGCCAUCGCUCAACGGAUAAAAGGUACUCCGGGGAUAACAGGCUGAUACCGCCCAAGAGUUCAUAUCGACGGCGGUGUUUGGCACCUCGAUGUCGGCUCAUCACAUCCUGGGGCUGAAGUAGGUCCCAAGGGUAUGGCUGUUCGCCAUUUAAAGUGGUACGCGAGCUGGGUUUAGAACGUCGUGAGACAGUUCGGUCCCUAUCUGCCGUGGGCGCUGGAGAACUGAGGGGGGCUGCUCCUAGUACGAGAGGACCGGAGUGGACGCAUCACUGGUGUUCGGGUUGUCAUGCCAAUGGCACUGCCCGGUAGCUAAAUGCGGAAGAGAUAAGUGCUGAAAGCAUCUAAGCACGAAACUUGCCCCGAGAUGAGUUCUCCCUGAGACUU